GGGUCAGUAGGUUGGUCGUGCCACCGGUACGUACUGGUCUCACUGAUUCCUCCUUCCUGAAGAACCGGAAUGCCAUUAAUUUGGUGUUGCGGGGAGACAGGACUGUUACUUUGAAAAGAUUAGAGUGUUUAAAGCAAGCUAACGCUUGAAUACAUCAGCAUGGAAUAAUGAAAUAGGACGAUCGAUCCUAUUUUGUUGGUUUCUAGGAUUGACGUA
rnacentral:rRNA from 1 species